UACGUAGGGCGCAAGCGUUGUCCGGAAUUAUUGGGCGUAAAGAGCUCGUAGGCGGUUUGUCGCGUCUGCUGUGAAAACCUAACGGCUCAACCUUGGGCUUGCAGUGGGUACGGGCAGACUAGAGUGCGGUAGGGGUGACUGGAAUUCCUGGUGUAGCGGUGGAAUGCGCAGAUAUCAGGAGGAACACCGGUGGCGAAGGCGGAUCUCUGGGCCGAU
rnacentral:rRNA from 1 species